rnacentral:rRNA from 1 species
UACAGAGGGUGCGAGCGUUGUUCGGAAUUACUGGGCGUAAAGCGCGCGCAGGCGGCCCUUUAAGUCCGUCGGUCAAAUGCCGGGGCUCAACCCCGAUGCAUGCCGAGGAUACUGGAGGGCUGGAGACACGUAGAGGCAAGCGGAAUUCCGGGUGUAGCGGUGGAAUGCGUAGAGAUCCGGAAGAACACCGGAGGCGAAGGCGGCUUGCUGGGCGUGAUCUGACGCUGAGGCGCGAAGGCGUGGGGAGCGAACAGG